rnacentral:rRNA from 1 species
GACGAACGCUGGCGGCGUGCUUAACACAUGCAAGUCGAACGGAAAGGCCCUGCUUUUGUGGGGUGCUCGAGUGGCGAACGGGUGAGUAACACGUGAGUAACCUGCCCUUGACUUUGGGAUAACUUCAGGAAACUGGGGCUAAUACCGGAUAGGAGCUCCUGCUGCAUGGUGGGGGUUGGAAAGUUUCGGCGGUUGUGGAUGGACUCGCGGCUUAUCAGCUUGUUGGUGGGGUAGUGGCUUACCAAGGCUUUGACGGGUAGCCGGCCUGAGAGGGUGACCGGCCACAUUGGGACUGAGAUACGGCCCCGACUCCUCCGGGAGGCAGCAGUGGGGAAUAUUGCACAAUGGGCGGAAGCCUGAUGCAGCAACGCCGCGUGCGGGAUGACGGCCUUCGGGUUGUAAACCGCUUUCGCCUGUGACGAAGCGUGAGUGACGGUAAUGGGUAAAGAAGCACCGGCUAACUACGUG